rnacentral:rRNA from 1 species
AGUGAACGCUGGCGGUAGGCCUAACACAUGCAAGUCGAACGGCAGCACAGUAAGAGCUUGCUCUUACGGGUGGCGAGUGGCGGACGGGUGAGGAAUACAUCGGAAUCUACUUUUUCGUGGAGGAUAACGUAGGGAAACUUACGCUAAUACCGCAUACGACCUACGGGUGAAAGCAGGGGAUCUUCGGACCUUGCGCGAUUGAAUGAGCCGAUGUCGGAUUAGCUAGUUGGCGGGGUAAAGGCCCACCAAGGCGACGAUCCGUAGCUGGUCUGAGAGGAUGAUCAGCCACACUGGAACUGAGACACGGUCCAGACUCCUACGGGAGGCAGCAGUGGGGAAUAUUGGACAAUGGGCGCAAGCCUGAUCCAGCCACACCGCGUGGGUGAAGAAGGCCUUCGGGUUGUAAAGCCCUUUUGUUGGGAAAGAAAAGCAGCAGGUUAAUACCCCGCUGUUCUGACGGUACCCAAAGAAUAAGCACCGGCUAACUUCGUG